AUGGAGAACCUGGACAUGGAGGGGCUGGAGCAGGCCUCCGUCGACACGCGGCUUGGCGCCUCCAACGUCGGCUUCAGGCUACUCCAGAAGAUGGGAUCCAAGUCCGGCAAGGGCCUCGACAAGAACGAGCAAGGUUUCUUUCUUUCCUCUACUCUCACCUGCUUGUUUACCCUCUCUCUAGGUUUGAUUCAGUUUAGUGGUUCGACAUGUGGUUCUAUCAAGUGUUGUCAGUCAUCAUCCCUGGCUGUUUCAUACUCCGCCAUCAGUUAG
rnacentral:rRNA from 1 species